CCUACGGGCGGCUGCAGUGGGGAAUAUUGGACAAUGGGGGGAACCCUGAUCCAGCCAUGCCGCGUGUGUGAAGAAGGCCCUCGGGUUGUAAAGCACUUUCAGUGAGGAAGAACGCCUGGUGGUUAAUACCCAUCAGGAAAGACAUCACUCACAGAAGAAGCACCGGCUAACUCCGUGCCAGCAGCCGCGGUAAUACGGAGGGUGCGAGCGUUAAUCGGAAUUACUGGGCGUAAAGCGCGCGUAGGUGGCUUGAUAAGCCGGUUGUGAAAGCCCCGGGCUCAACCUGGGAACGGCAUCCGAAACGGUCAAGCUGGGGGGCAGGAAGGGAGGGAAAAAUUCCGGUGUAGCGGUGAAAUGCGUAGAGAUCGGGAGGAAUACCAGUGGCGAAGGCGGCCUUCUGGACUGACACUGACACUGAGGUGCGAAAGCGUGGGUAGCAAACAGGAUUAGAUACCCCAGUAGUC
rnacentral:rRNA from 1 species